CGGCGUGCCUAACACAUGCAAGUCAACUUGACUGAAGGAGCAAUCUGACAGUAGAGUGGCGCAAGGGUGCGUAACGCGUAAGUAACUGCCCAAGUAGGAAUGACGUCGAGAAAUCGGCGCUAAUACCUCAUAAUGCAGCGGAUCCGCAUGGAUAUGUUGUUAAAGGUUUACCGCCUUGGGAUAGGCUUGCGUCUGAUUAGUUAGUUGGUGUGGUAACGGCACACCAAGGCUACGAUCAGUAACUGGUCUGAGAGGAUGAUCAGUCACACUGGAACUGAGACACGGUCCAGACUCCUACGGGAGGCAGCAGUGAGGAAUAUUGGGCAAUGCUCGAAAGAGUGACCCAGCAACGCCGCGUGGAGGAUGAAGGUAUUCUAUAUCGUAAACUCCUGUGAGAGCAGACGAAAGACAGAUUAUUAAUCUGGAUGACUGUAUGCUCAGAGGAAGCCCCGGCUAACUACGUG
rnacentral:rRNA from 1 species